UACGGAGGGUGCGAGCGUUGUCCGGAAUCAUUGUGCGUACAGGGCGCGUAGGUGGCGCAGCAAGCGUGCGGUGAAAGCUCGGGGCUCAACCCCGAGUCGGCCGUGCGAACUGCUGGGCUCGAGCACUGUAGAGGCAGGCGGAAUUCCGGGUGUAGCGGUGGAAUGCGUAGAGAUCCGGAAGAACACCGAUAGCGAAGGCAGCUCGCUGGGACGGUACUGACGCUGAGGCGCGAAAGCGUGGGGAGCGAACAGG
rnacentral:rRNA from 1 species